UUUAAAUAUCGUGGCCCAGAAAUACCAAAGUUUAGUUGAAACUUUGUUCAGCUUCUUGAAAGCUCUUAAAAUAAUAAAAUAAUGAAUGUCCUAUUCUUUUUGCUAUUAGUUUCUGGCUUCAUGGCUACUGCUUUUAGUAAUGCUUUAAAAAGUAAUGCUCCUGAAAAAGAGUGUUUAGCAUGGACUGAAAAAUGCGUUGGAAAAGAAAAAUGGAGGAAAAUUCAAGCAGCAAGAGAGGCUGAAUACCGGAAGAAGUUAGGUUAUCCAUCUUAAAAAAGUCCAUCAGACAAAAAACAGCCCAAGUUAUAAGAGAUUUUCGGGGCACAACCUAAUAAGGACAUCUUAUAUGGUACUUUAGGAGUACCGAUUAUAAAAUCAUAACAGUCCGUAACUGGAUAGAAGCGAAAGACUAACAAAUCGGUUUAAUAAUAAAUUUAUUUAAAACAAA